rnacentral:misc_RNA from 1 species
ACGUGCUUUGCACAUGGCCUCCAGUGGCUCAGCCUUGGGCAUGGAGAGUCCAGUCCCUUCAGUCAUGUCAAUUUCCUUGUCACCCACCUUCUUCCACUCAAAACACUGAAUCAUAGAGCCCAAAGCAAACCCUAAAACCCUGUUGGCAAGGCCCAUCCCUGGACAGGCCCUCCUGCCAAGUCCGAAGGGCAAGAACUUGCAGCUAUAGCCCUCAGCUUGACCAAUCUCAAACCUCUCGGGCUUAAAUUUCAAAGCAUCAUCCCACAUUUGAGGGUCUCUGUGUAUAGCCCAUGCAUUGACAAGUAGCAUUGUAUUUUUUGGCACAACAUAUCCUCCAAUGCUACACUCAUUGUUUGAAAGAUGUGGCAGAAGCAAUGGAGCUGCUGGGCACAACCGAAGAGUCUCUAAUAUUAUAUUCUGAAGAAAGGGUAACUUGGAAAUA